rnacentral:rRNA from 1 species
AAWACGACUCUCGGCAACGGAUAUCUCGGCUCUCGCAUCGAUGAAGAACGUAGCRAAAUGMGAUACUUGGUGUGAAUUGCAGAAUCCCGUGAACCAUCGAGUCUUUGAACGCAAGUUGCGCCCUAAGCCGUUAGGCCGAGGGCACGUCUGCCUGGGUGUCACGC